ACAUUACUAAAUCAGUUCAAGAAUGGCAAAUCAUUUUUGUCAGGGGAUGUUUUCUUACUGGACAUUUACAAACACGAGGAAACUGGUAAAAAACUGCUCUCUGCCAGACAAAGCGAAGUGGAGGCGAUGUCUAUUAAAAAAAGUUUGGCUAAAAACAGAUUCUUACACUAAAGGUCUUCAGAAAUGCCGUCGUGUGGUGGAGACCUCAAAUGUUGAAACCGAAGACUGCUCCACAGUGAAAAAAAGGGCACAUAAAAAGCCAACAAGAUUUGUUUCGGAAAUUGAUUCUUCCUCAAAUGAUGAUGGCAGAGUUACCAAAGGACCAAAGGGCAAUACAGAUCUGUCAAAACCUCAUCCACCAAAAUAAGGAAGUUCACCACUUUCUCAACACUCAGAGGAAUCGCUGCAGGAGUCCCAACUGCCAAGUAUAUCACAGCCUCUUGAAGUGGCUUCACGGUUCCUCAUAGAAGAGCCCCAGUAUUCUGACUCUGCAACAAAUAGCUAUCGGACAAAAGUCUUACAAAAGCU